rnacentral:rRNA from 1 species
CACGUGGACAACCUACCCUUGGGUUCGGCAUAAUCCUGGGAAACUGGGGAUAAUACCGGAUAGGUCACAGAUGCUGGAAUGCACUGUGGCUCAAAGCUCCGGCGCCCAAGGAUGGGUCUGCGGCCUAUCAGGGUUGUAGUGGGUGUAAUGUACCUACUAGCCUACGACGGGUACGGGUUGUGAGAGCAAGAGCCCGGAGAUGGAUUCUGAGACGCGAAUCCAGGCCCUACGGGGUGCAGCAGGCGCGAAAACUUUACAAUGCGGGAAACCGUGAUAAGGGAAUCUCGAGUGCCAGCAUAUAAUGUUGGCUGUCCAGAUGCCUAAAAAGCAUCUGUUAGCAAGGGCCGGGCAAGACCGGUGCCAGCCGCCGCGGUAACACCGGCGGCCCGAGUGGUAACCGCUAUUAUUGGGUCUAAAGGGUCUGUAGCCGGCCAGGUAAGUCCCUUGGGAAAUCUGGCAGCUCAACUGUCAGGCUGCUAGGGGAUACUGUUUGGCUUGGGACCGGGAGAGGUGAGAGGUACCUUGGGGGUAGGGGUGAAAUCUUGUGAUCCUCGGGGGAC